GUAGGGCGGCGUCGUCCUCGUCCCCGUCCCCGUCCCAGGCAGUGCCGCUCUCCAUCUCCCCCCGCCCUCUCCCUCUCCUUCUCCUCCUGCAUCCCAUCUGAGAUCCCACAUCGACUUCUAUAGAGGGAGAACCAGAGAAAAGCAUAGCAAGCUGGAAGAUGCGGAGCCCAUGGGGUGCCGGUGGCAGAAGCGGCGAGGUCCAGAGAUAAGAAACAGGUAACUUGAUUCGUUCUUAUAGAAUUUUGAGCUGUUCUCUGUGCAGACUUGGUUGGUUUUGAUGCUUUCAGUUGGUCCUCGCCUACCAAUACGGUCGGUCAGAUCAAGCAGAUGAAAUGCAGCUAGAUAGCUAGAGAGGUCUGUGCUGUGCCCAUCGGAUGAUUCACUGCCUCAUCUUUAUAGUUCAACUCGCGUGUCAUUUAUUAUACGGUUAGCACGAAGAACGUGAGACAUUGUUCUACUGCUCUAUUAAUUAGGUUAGCAUUUUCCUACUGUGUACUGCAUGUUGAAACGCAAUCUUUCUGUUUGUCAGAAAGUUCUGAGUUUUUCUAUUUUAGUGCAGUUCAGAGUUUUGCAUUUUUCUUUGUUGUGUCACUUUCAUAAUAGUAAAUAUUUUAGUCAAGCAAUCCUUAACAAAUAUUCAGGGAAUUUGUAAGCUUACUUACUAGUUCUACAUUCCUAGAAUUUUAAGCUUACUUAUUAGUUCUGUUCUCUAGUUUGUCUAUGUUGCUAGCAGUCAGUUCGCCAUAACAGAUGUGAAGUGCUACUGCAAUACAUAUAGUAAUUUUGAUUGUGGCUGACCUUAUGUUAAAAACUACUGGAAAUGUCUUCUGCUAUGUAUGCUUUCAUGUCAAUAAUUACCUUUUCUCUUUUUUUCAGCUUGGUUUUUGAUCUGCCCUGUCUAUGAUUAGUGAUUUUUGAAGGUGUUCCUCUUGAAGCUGAGCUCUGUUAAAACAAAUUAUCUGUCUUCGAGAUGGAUUUAACUCAUUGGAGAUGCAACCAAUUAUCUUGUCACCAUGAUCCCCAUCAGCACUGUUUUUG
rnacentral:lncRNA from 1 species